rnacentral:lncRNA from 1 species
GGUACUAAGAGAUAAAUAAGAAUGGAAACUUCUAGAAGAAAGAAAUCCACUAAGAAUCACAAGAACAGGAAAAUGAGCAUCCUUCCAUUAGAAUCGCAGUCCGAAGACGACACUUCAGCAACUGUUACUGCAUUUGGCUUUGACCGGGUCAAAGGAAUUGAGCCCAUCCUCUCCUGCCUGACAAGUACCAUAUUAUCUGAAGCCCCAAAUACCCAGUGCUGA